AAAAAAAAAAAAAAAAAAAAUUGUGGGAGAACUGGGGUUUCAUUUUAUCAACCCUUUAUAUUCCAUUAUUGAUUGAACAAGCAAAUUAGGUUGUGAGCUUGGUUUGUAUUGUGGCUUUUUAAUCUUCAGCUUCACUGAGAUUUGUUGGUUUUUCAUUUUUCUUCUUGUUGCUCUAACAGUGGCAAUGAAUGUUGAAUUCUUGAAUUUCACUGGAGCACUUAGUAGGCACUGGACAGGGAAAAGAUAUGACAUCAACAGGACCAGCGCCGCCAUCUCUUCUGAAGAGACGAGAAUCUACUGUGACACGAGAAGGAGACCAGCUUAUGAUCACCCCUUUGGGGGCCGGGAAUGAAGUUGGGCGGACCUGCGUGUACAUGUCUUUCAAAGGAAAAACUGUUUUGUUUGACUGUGGAAUUCAUCCUGCUUAUUCGGGCAUGGCUGCUCUUCCAUACUUUGAUGAGAUUGAUCCCUCGACCAUUGACGUGCUCCUUGUGACCCAGU